UACGGAGGGUGCGAGCGUUAAUCGGAAUUACUGGGCGUAAAGCGCACGCAGGCGGUUUGUUAAGCUAGAUGUGAAAGCCCCGGGCUCAACCUGGGAUGGUCAUUUAGAACUGGCAGACUAGAGUCUUGGAGAGGGGAGUGGAAUUCCAGGUGUAGCGGUGAAAUGCGUAGAUAUCUGGAGGAACUUCAGUGGCGAAGGCGACUCCCUGGCCAAAGACUGACGCUCAUGUGCGAAAGUGUGGGUAGCGAACAGG
rnacentral:rRNA from 1 species